ACCUGGAUGGCUAAGUUGGUCUAAGGCAGCACACUCAAUAUGUGUUAUCGAAAGAUGCGCGAGUUUAAAUCUCGCUUCCGGUA
rfam:Neocallimastix californiae strain G1 LY90scaffold_123, whole genome shotgun sequence.